AAAUAACUUAGUUUUAAUUAUAAUACUAGAAUUAAUUUUAAUACGCAUGAAAUUUAAAAUAAAUUAAACAUUUUCAGUGUAAAAUAUUUUUAAUAAAUAAAGUUUAUAAAAGUAAAAUAAUACAUUUAUCGAUAAAUAAUUGUGCCAGCAAUCGCGGUUAUACAAUAGAUAAAUUAGUAAGAUUGGAAAUAACUGUAGUUAAUUAUCUCUUGAAAGAGAUUAAACAAUUUUUUAUUAGGUAUAAUUUUAAUAAAUUAAAAAUCUCAUCCUUUAAGAAGCUACAAAACCUUUUUUAAAAACUAGGAUUUGAUACCCUAUUAUUUAGAUAAAAUAAAAAAUCCAGAGUAUUAACAGAAAUAAAACUCUAAACUCAAAAAACGUGGCAGUAUAAUAAUUUAUUAGAGAUACUUGUUUUGUUAAAACGAAUUUACACGAAAACCUUACUUAAAAACUAUUAGACCUUCAUACCUCCGCUUUUAGGAUAUUUUAAUAACUAUAUCUUCAUUAGUUUAAACUUAAAAUACAGGUCAAGGCGUAGUCUAUUUUUAAGACAAAAUGAGUAUCAUUGAAAUUAAUGGAAUUAAUUUUGUACUUAAAAGUACAAAAUAAAGAGAAUUUAAAAGUAAAUUUUAUUUAUUAAAUAAUUUUAAAUAUACUAUAUUAUAUGUACAAAUCGCCCGUCACUCUCGAUUAACUAAAGUUGAGAUAAGUCGUAACAAAGUAAGUGUAUUGGAAAAUGCCCUUAAUUUAUU
rnacentral:ncRNA from 1 species